rnacentral:rRNA from 1 species
GAUGAACGCUGGCGGCGUGCCUAAUACAUGCAAGUCGAGCGAACAGACGAGGAGCUUGCUCCUCUGACGUUAGCGGCGGACGGGUGAGUAACACGUGGAUAACCUACCUAUAAGACUGGGAUAACUUCGGGAAACCGGAGCUAAUACCGGAUAAUAUAUUGAACCGCAUGGUUCAAUAGUGAAAGACGGUUUUGCUGUCACUUAUAGAUGGAUCCGCGCCGCAUUAGCUAGUUGGUAAGGUAACGGCUUACCAAGGCAACGAUGCGUAGCCGACCUGAGAGGGUGAUCAGCCACACUGGAACUGAGACACGGUCCAGACUCCUACGGGAGGCAGCAGUGGGGAAUCUUCCACAAUGGGCGAAAGCCUGACGGAGCAACGCCGCGUGAGUGAUGAAGGUCUUCGGAUCGUAAAACUCUGUUAUUAGGGAAGAACAAAUGUGUAAGUAACUAUGCACGUCUUGACGGUACCUAAUCAGAAAGCCACGGCUAACUACGUG